rnacentral:rRNA from 1 species
GACGGAGGGUGCUAGCGUUGUUCGGAAUCACUGGGCGUAAAGGGCGCGUAGGCGGCCUUGCAAGUCGGUUGGUGAAAGCCCGGGGCUCAACCCCGGAGGUGCGGCCGAGACUGCAGGGCUGGAGGCCGGAAGAGGUGGGUGGAAUUCCUGGUGUAGAGGUGAAAUUCGUAGAUAUCGGGAGGAACACCAGUGGCGAAGGCGGCGAUCUGGGCUGAUACUGACGCUGAGGUGCGAAAGCGUGGGGAGCAAACAGG